CAAAAGUGUGGCAACACCAAUAGCAAGGGGAACCCUUUCCACUACACAGAAUGCAGUAUCAACCUUUAUCUUAUCUUAACUAAAACCUAGUAUUUCCUUAAACACGCUGUUUCCGCUGAACUUAUCCUUCUUCCUAGUGAAAAAUACUUAACAUUCUU